AUUGAACGCUGGCGGCAGGCCUAACACAUGCAAGUCGAGCGGGGUUUUCGGACCUAGCGGCGGACGGGUGAGUAAUGCGUAGGAAGCUACCCGAUAGAGGGGGAUACCAGUUGGAAACGACUGUUAAUACCGCAUAAUGUCUACGGACCAAAGUGUGGGACCUUCGGGCCACAUGCUAUCGGAUGUGCCUACGUGGGAUUAGCUAGUUGGUGAGGUAAUGGCUCACCAAGGCGACGAUCCCUAGCUGGUUUGAGAGGAUGAUCAGCCACACUGGAACUGAGACACGGUCCAGACUCCUACGGGAGACAGCAGUGGGGAAUAUUGGACAAUGGGCGCAAGCCUGAUCCAGCCAUGCCGCGUGUGUGAAGAAGGCCUUCGGGUUGUAAAGCACUUUCAGCGAGGAGGAAGGGGUGAGUGUUAAUAGUACUCAUCUUUGACGUUACUCGCAGAAGAAGCACCGGCUAACUCUGUGCCAGCAGCCGCCGUAAAAC
rnacentral:rRNA from 1 species